rnacentral:rRNA from 1 species
GACAGAGGUGCCAAGCGUUAGGCGGAAUCACUGGGCUUAAAGCGUGUGUAGGCGGAUGCCUAAGUACCUUGUGAAAUCCCGCGGCUCAACCGCGGAACUGCUUGGUAUACUGGACGUCUUGAGCCAGCUAGGGGCUACCGGAACAAAUGGUGGAGCGGUGAAAUGCGUAGAUAUCAUUUGGAACGCCAAUGGUGAAAACAGGUAGCUGGGGCUGUGCUGACGCUGAGACACGAAAGCCAGGGGAGCAAACGGG